CCCGCUGAACUUAAGCAUAUCAAUAAGCGGAGGAAAAGAAACCAACAGGGAUUGCCCUAGUAACGGCGAGUGAAGCGGCAACAGCUCAAAUUUGAAAUCUGGCUCUUUCAGAGUCCGAGUUGUAAUUUGCAGAGGGCGCUUUGGCGUUGGCAGCGGUCCAAGUUCGGAUUUGGAACAGGACGUCACAGAGGGUGAGAAUCCCGUACGUGGUCGCUAGCCUUCGCCGUGUAAAGCCCCUUCGACGAGUCGAGUUGUUUGGGAAUGCAGCUCUAAAUGGGAGGUAAAUUUCUUCUAAAGCUAAAUACUGGCCAGAGACCGAUAGCGCACAAGUAGAGUGAUCGAAAGAUGAAAAGCACUUUGGAAAGAGAGUCAAAUAGCACGUGAAAUUGUUGAAAGGGAAGCGCUUGCAGCCAGACUUGCCUGUAGUUGCUUAUCUGGACUUUUGUCCAGUGCACUCUUCUGCGGGCAGGCCAGCAUCAGUUUGGGCGGUUGGAUAAAGGUCUCUGUCAUGUACCUCCUUUCGGGGAGGCCUUAUAGGGGAGACGACAUGCAACCAGCCUGGACUGAGGUCCGCGCAUCUGCUAGGAUGCUGGCGUAAUGGCUGUAAGCGGCCCGUCUUGAAACACGGACCAAAGGAGUCUAACAUCUAUGCGAGUGUUUGGGUGUCAAGCCCAGACGCGUAAUGAAAGUGAACGGAGGUGGGAACCUUUUAGGUGCACCAUCGACCGAUCCUGAUGUCUUCGGAAGGAUUUGAGUAAGAGCAUAGCUGUUGGGACCCGAAACACGAUGGUGAACUAUGCUUGAAUAGGGUGAAGCCAGAGGAAACUCUGGUGGAGGCUCGCAGCGGUUCUGACGUGCAAAUCGAUCGUCAAAUUUGGGCAUAGGGGCGAAAGACUAAUCGAACUAUCUAGUAGCUGGUUCCUGCCGAAGUUUCCCUCAGGAUAGCAGUAACGUAUUCAGUUUUAUGAGGUAAAGCGAAUGAUUAGAGGCCUGGGGGUUGAAACAACCUUCACCUAUUCUCAAACUUUAAAUAUGUAAGAAGUCCUUGUUACUUGAUUGAACGUGGACACUUGAAUGUACCGUUACUAGUGGGCCAUUUUUGGUAAGCAGAACUGGCGAUGCGGGAUGAACCGAACGCGGGGGUUAAGGUGCCCAGAAAUAUACGCUCAUCAGACACCCACAAAAGGUGUUAGUUCAUCUAGACAGCAGGACGGAUGGCCAUGGAAGUCGGAAUCCGCUAAGGAGUGUGUAACAACUCACCUGCCGAAUGAACUAGCCCUGAAAAUGGAUGGCGCUCAAGCGUAUUACCCAUACCCCGCCGCCGGGGCAGAAUUUAUGCCCCGGCGAGUAGGCAGGCGUGGAGGCUCGUGACGAAGCCUUGGGGGUGACCCCGGGUCGAACGGCCUCUAGUGCAGAUCUUGGUGGUAGUAGCAAAUACUCAAAUGAGAACUUUGAGGAACUGAAGUGGGGAAAGGUUCCGUGUGAACAGCAGUUGGACACGGGUUAGUCGAUCCUAAGAGAUAGGGGUAGUUUCCGUUUUAAUGUUGGCGCUUGCGCCACGCCCUUCGAAAGGGGAGCCGGGUUAACAUUCCGGCACCUGGAUGUAGAUUCUCAGCGGCAAAGCAAACUAAGAGCGGAGACCUUGGCAGGAGCCACAAGAAGAGUUCUCUUUUCUUCUUAACAGUCUGUCACCCAGAAAAUCGGUAUGUCCGGAGCUAGGGUUCAAUGGCCGGAAGAGCGCUGCACUUUUGUGGCGUUUGGUGCGCUCCAGACGAGCCUUGAAAAUCCGCUUGAAGAAAUAGUUUUUACGCCAGGUCGUACUCAUAACCGCAGCAGGUCUCCAAGGUGAAAAGCCUCUAGUU
rfam:Phaeosphaeria nodorum SN15 scaffold_5, whole genome shotgun sequence.